CCCACUCUCCUUUCCCCAGACGUUGUGCACAGGGGAAAGUCACCUCUGGUAACUGAUGACCUUGACCUGGCAGGAUCAGCAAAGUGGUGAGGACAGAGCCCCCGUAGGAGUUGGUUGAAAAGACAUCCGGAGAGCAGCAAGGGAGAAAAGGUGCAGGCUGGACACAGUGGACCCCAUUCCAUCACAGGAGAGGAGAAUGGUGCAGAGUGUCAAGUGAUGCAGACCAGGGCAACCCAGAGCACCACAAGGGAAGCAGGUUGAAAGGGAGUUUGCAUCUGGCAGGUGAGAGGUGAGUCGAGUGUUUCAGUCAGAGGGACUGACAGGC